GGUGGUGUAGUAUAGUGGUUAGUACGAUUCGUUGUGGUCUGGUGCAAGCACCCCUCCUCAAUGAGUACCGAAUAGACCCAGGUUCGAUUCCUGGCACCGCCA